GGAACGAUACAGAGAAGAUUAGCAUGG
rnacentral:piRNA from 5 species